UUGAACGCUGGCGGCAUGCCUUACACAUGCAAGUCGAACGGCAGCGCGGGCUUCGGCCUGGCGGCGAGUGGCGAACGGGUGAGUAACAUAUCGGAACGUGCCUUAGAGUGGGGGAUAACUAGUCGCAAGACUAGCUAAUACCGCAUACGAUCUACGGAUGAAAGUGGGGGAUCGCAAGACCUCAUGCUCUUAGAGCUGCCGAUAUCUGAUUAGCUAGUUGGUGGGGUAAAGGCCUACCAAGGCGACGAUCAGUAGCUGGUCUGAGAGGACGACCAGCCACACUGGGACUGAGACACGGCCCAGACUCCUACGGGAGGCAGCAGUGGGGAAUUUUGGACAAUGGGGGAAACCCUGAUCCAGCAAUGCCGCGUGUGUGAAGAAGGCCUUCGGGUUGUAAAGCACGUUUGUUCGGAAAGAAAGCGCCUGGGUUAAUACCCUGGGUGGAUGACGGUACCGGAAGAAUAAGCACCGGCUAACUACGU
rnacentral:rRNA from 1 species